ACGAACGCUGGCGGCGUGCUUAACACAUGCAAGUCGAACGGAAAGGCCCAGCUUGCUGGGUGCUCGAGUGGCGAACGGGUGAGUAACACGUGGGUGAUCUGCCUCUAACUUCGGGAUAAGCUUGGGAAACUGGGUCUAAUACCGGAUAGGACAAUCGUUUAGUGUCGGUUGUGGAAAGUUUUUUCGGUUAGGGAUGAGCCCGCGGCCUAUCAGCUUGUUGGUGGGGUAAUGGCCUACCAAGGCGUCGACGGGUAGCCGGCCUGAGAGGGUGGACGGCCACAUUGGGACUGAGAUACGGCCCAGACUCCUACGGGAGGCAGCAGUGGGGAAUAUUGCACAAUGGGCGCAAGCCUGAUGCAGCGACGCCGCGUGGGGGAUGACGGCCUUCGGGUUGUAAACCUCUUUCGACAGGGACGAAGCUUUGGUGACGGUACCUGUAUAAGAAGCACCGGCUAACUACGU
rnacentral:rRNA from 1 species